rnacentral:rRNA from 1 species
AGAGUGAACGCUGGCGGUAGGCCUAACACAUGCAAGUCGAACGGCAGCACAGGAGAGCUUGCUCUCUGGGUGGCGAGUGGCGGACGGGUGAGGAAUACAUCGGAAUCUACCUUUUCGUGGGGGAUAACGUAGGGAAACUUACGCUAAUACCGCAUAAGACCUUCGGGUGAAAGCCGGGGACCUUCGGGCCUGGCGCGGAUAGAUGAGCCGAUGUCGGAUUAGCUUGUUGGCGGGUAAAAGCCCACCAAGGCGACGAUCCGUAGCUGGUCUGAGAGGAUGAUCAGCCACACUGGAACUGAGACACGGUCCAGACUCCUACGGGAGGCAGCAGUGGGGAAUAUUGGACAAUGGGCGCAAGCCUGAUCCAGCCAUACCGCGUGGGUGAAGAAGGCCUUCGGGUUGUAAAGUCCCUUUUGUUAGGGAAAGAAAGUCCUGACCGAUUAAUACGUACAGUAGGAUGACGGUACCAAAGAUAAGCACCGCUAACUCGUGCCAGCAGCCGCGUAAU